UGUAGCCGGGUCGGCAAGUCAGAUGUGAAAUCUGGAGGCUCAACCUCCAAACUGCAUUUGAAACUGCUGAUCUUGAGUAUCGGAGAGGUAAUCGGAAUUCCUUGUGUAGCGGUGAAAUGCGUAGAUAUAAGGAAGAACACCAGUGGCGAAGGCGGAUUACUGGACGACAACUGACGGUGAGGCGCGAAAGCGUGGGGAGCAAACAG
rnacentral:rRNA from 1 species